GGGAAUGUGGCUUAGUGGUAGAGUAUUUGCCUAACAUGUAGGAAGCUCUGGGUUCAAUUCCUCACUACCA
rnacentral:tRNA from 1 species